rnacentral:rRNA from 1 species
UACGGGGGGGGCAAGCGUUGUUCGGAAUUACUGGGCGUAAAGUGUGCGCAGGCGGCAGAGCAAGUCGAGUGUGAAAGCCCCGGGCUUAACUUGGGAAUUGCGCUCGAAACUACUUUGCUGGAGUGUGGCAGAGGAAGGUGGAAUUCCACGUGUAGCGGUGAAAUGCGUAGAGAUGUGGAGGAACACCAAUGGCGAAGGCAGCCUUCUGGGCCAACACUGACGCUCAUGCACGAAAGCGUGGGGAACAAACAGG